rnacentral:rRNA from 1 species
GUAGGUGGCAAGCGUUGUCCGGAAUUAUUGGGCGUAAAGCGCGCGCAGGCGGUUCUUUAAGUCUGAUGUGAAAGCCCACGGCUCAACCGUGGAGGGUCAUUGGAAACUGGAGAACUUGAGUACAGAAGAGGAAAGCGGAAUUCCACGUGUAGCGGUGAAAUGCGUAGAGAUGUGGAGGAACACCAGUGGCGAAGGCGGCUUUCUGGUCUGUAACUGACGCUGAGGCGCGAAAGCGUGGGGAGCAAACAGGGAUUAGAUACCCUGGUAGUCCACGCCGUAAACGAUGAGUGCUAAGUGUUAGGGGGGUUUCCGCCCCCUUAGUGCUGCAGCUAACGCAUUAAGCACUCCGCCUGGGGAGUACGCCGCAAGGCUG